rnacentral:misc_RNA from 1 species
AACUUGUGGCAACGGAUCACUUGGCUCUCCCAGCGAUGAAGAACGCAGCGAAAUGCGAUAAGUAAUGUGAAUUGCAGAAUUCAGUGAAUCAUCGAAUCUUUGAACGCAUCUUGCGCCCCUUGGUAUUCCGAGGAGCAUGCCUGUUUGAGUGUCAUUUGACCUUCUCUCAACCAUAUCAGUCAAUGAUGUGGCUUGGAUGUGGGGUUGCAGGCUUCCGAGUAUGAAAGUCCAGCUCCCCUGAAAUGCAUUAGUGGUAUCUGUCUGAGCUGCUAUUUGGUGUGAUAACUUAUCUAUGCCUUUUGGUGAUCAGCACCGCUUAUAAACCAUCGAUUUGACAAAUUUGACCUCAAAUCAGGUAGGACUACCCGCUGAACUUAAGCUAUCAAUAAGCGGAGGCU